AAUUUGGGGUAGAAUUUUUCAUAGAGUAUGAAUAUAUACUUUGUUUAUGUUUUUGAUUUUUUAAUAAAUACGACCUUAUGUGCUUCUUCAAAUAGGUCCUUAAACUCUGUAAAAAUCACAACUAAUUAAUACUUUCAUCAAUGUUGACAAACUUUAUAUGUUUUUGGAUCAGAAUCUGGAAAGGAUUUUGUUGGUAUACUAUGUUUUGAAAUUUGAACAAACUAAAAGCAUGUUUGUUUCGAAAUUCAAAUAACACCCUCUGGUUUUGCCGUUGCAUAAAUUGUUAUGAACAGUGAGAGCAGGAUCAAAUCAUGAAAUUUUUGCACGGUAAUUUUUCAUAUUUUUUGAGAUGCAGAAGUAUCUGAAAUAAUCCCUCCUUAUGGAUUGUUCUUUGCAUGUCUAAAAGUGUGGUGGGGGGUCUUCAGAGGUUCGCAAUCCGAGCUGGUCCAGAGAGGAAGAGGCCUACUUUAGGUAUCUCACUACUUAUCGUCAAGAGGUAGUUGAACAUGAUGCCAAACGGACUUUGCUCGACGACUACCGUGCACAAAAAAUGGAGAACAUGUACUUGGCGAUGGAAAAUGGCACUCGGGCUCCAGCAAUGGGACCACCACCACCCAAUCCUGGACCAGCCCCAGUAAUGCUGACGAUCGAAGAAUUCUUGGCACGUGGUGGCGACGGGACUUUGGUUAGUAUAUUGUCAA